rnacentral:rRNA from 1 species
GACGUAGGGGGCCAGCAUUGCUCGGAAUUACUGGGCGUAAAGGGUUCGUAGGCGGUGUGGCAAGUCGGGAGUGAAAUCUCCAGGCUCAACUUGGAGGCUGCUUCCGAAACUGCCGCGCUAGAGUGCGAGAGAGGCCAGUGGAAUUGCAGGUGUAGCGGUGAAAUGCGUAGAUAUCUGCAGGAACACCCGUGGCGAAGGCGGCUGGCUGGAUCGCAACUGACGCUGAGGAACGAAAGCUAGGGGAGCAAACAGG